UGGGGAAUAUUGCGCAAUGGGGGCAACCCUGACGCAGCAAUGCCGCGUGAAGGAUGAAGGUUUUCGGAUUGUAAACUUCUUUUGUCAAGGACGAAGCAGUGACGGUACUUGACGAAUAAGCCACGGCUAACUACGUGCCAGCAGCCGCGGUAAUACGUAGGUGGCAAGCGUUGUCCGGAUUUACUGGGUGUAAAGGGCGAGUAGGCGGGAUUGCAAGUCAGAUGUGAAAUGCCGGGGCUUAACCCCGGAGCUGCAUUUGAAACUGUAGUUCUUGAGUAUCGGAGAGGCAGGCGGAAUUCCCGGUGUAGCGGUGGAAUGCGUAGAUAUCGGGAGGAACACCAGUGGCGAAGGCGGCCUGCUGGACGACAACUGACGCUGAGGAGCGAAAGCGUGGGGAGCAAACAGG
rnacentral:rRNA from 1 species